rnacentral:lncRNA from 1 species
GGUUUGAGCCUGAACCCACUAUGCCACCUCCAUGCCAGUGCAGGAACGGUGGAACCUGUUAUUUUGAUGACAAUAAGGCACUUUGCAUGUAAGCUUGUGGUCUGAUAUUGACAUGCAUGUUACAUCAGAAAAAAAAAUGUUUAAAAAGCGAGGAUGGAUAAGCUUAUGGAUGUAGUAAUGCUAACUGUUCAUCCCCACCUUGUAGUUGCCCCCCCGAAUGGAACGGAGAUUUCUGCGAGACCAGUGUUUAUGGUGUAGUCACAACCUCAGUUGCUAUUGCCCUUGGAGUUACAACGUUUGUGGCUCUUUUCCUGGUUUGCCUUAUAUAUUCUGCAAAAAAGAAGGAGAAAAUUAUGAACACUCUGCAUAGCAUUAAUCUGCCUAUUAGUGUAUCUAACUUCAGUAGGCCCAGCUUCUGGUGAGAAUGAAAAAGUGUAUAAUAAAUAUUGGUGAAUAUUAGAAAAAAAGUGAAUAUAAUGAAUGUAGAUAUUGUGCAGAUAUUAUAUACAGUUACAGUAUAUAACAAAAUAAACCUUUGGUUUGGUUUUACUUCAAUAAUUAGGGGUGGUAACUCUGAAUGUUUUAACAUCCCAUCUGAAUCGGCGAAUGACAGCAGCAACAUUCCCAAAGAGGAAUCCAGCACAUCAGAAGAAGUGGAGGGAAAAGGAGGGAGUUUCGAGAACCCAGCAUACAGUGAGGAUUCCCAGGGAUCUUCUGCUGCACCUACUGCUGUAGCCACUGUCAUGAAUGGGCCUGCCAAUGAGAGUGUUGAAAACCCAAUGUAUGCUGCUGAGUUGAGCUUUCUGACCCAGCCAAAUGAUGGUCCAACCCCUGUCAAUGCAGAUGCCACACCAUUGAACACUGAGCCUGACAAGGCUGAUACUUCACAGCUACAGAACGGGGUGGAUAUGCAUGCUAUGUUCGACAAUCCCUUAUAUAUGGUGAGAAAAAGGGACUGUGUAUGGGUUUGGGCAAAUACCAUGAAUUGGUUUGAUUUUGAAGUACAAGGGAAGAAUGUUUCCGAAUAA